GCGUCAUCGUGUUUAUUCAUGGAUGUGCCUCAUCCAGUAGAGGAUAUGAGUUGGUUGUAUUAUAUAAUGACGUAUAUACCUAAUGACGAUAUAACCGGAUAUGAUGUCAUCAAAUUAUAUGUCAGUGACCAUAUGUCAGUUCGUUCUGAUGUUGUGACCAUCAAGAUGGCCAUAUUGAAUAUGCCUUGUAUAAAUGGCGGAACAUGUCAAUCUAAAUAUAUUGAUGGAACCAGAUACAAAUGCCAAGAUGUCUUGAGAGCUGAUAAUUUCUAUGAUUAUUAUUCGUGUAAUUGUACCAAUGGUUGGUCCGGUGUAAAUUGUCAGGAGGAUGUUAACGAAUGUCAAAGUUCACCUUGUAUCUGGCCAUAUGUUUGUUUUGAUUUUAUAAAUGAAUACCAGUGCGCAUGUCCAGUCGACAAUCCCAACUGUGACUCUUUACUUGGCUGGAUGAUCGCGUUGAUUGUUGUUGCUGUUGUCAUGGUUAUAACCCUGUCGUUCCUGCUGUUUUAUUGCUUGUCGUUGAGACGAGGACGAGGAAGAUGGCCCCUUGUAUUCAACAGAUUUUACUCAUCAACACGAACUGGUUGCAAUAGCAAAAUUAUACCGUUUAAUCCAACCGAUAUUGAACCUGAGUGUGAAGUCAACUGUAGCACAAUUUAAAUCUGGAACAACAGGACUUAUACAGAACAAACGUUAGACCAAAUAAAAACAAAAUAUCUCUGUUUACGGUUACUUGGCCACAAAACGUUGGGUCGACCGGUCGGACAGUUUAGGGUCUGUGAUUUGGUUCGUGUCGAGCCACCGUAAACACAGGCUAUUGUUUUAUCUUUUGUUGGGUAGAGG